rnacentral:rRNA from 1 species
GACGGACGCUGGCGGCGUGCCUAAUACAUGCAAGUCGAACGAGAGCGCCCGGUGCUUGCACUGGUCAAUCUAGUGGCGAACGGGUGAGUAACACGUGGGUAACCUGCCCAUCAGAGGGGGAUAACAUCCGGAAACGGAUGCUAAAACCGCAUAGGUCUUCGAGCCGCAUGGCUUGAAGAGGAAAAGAGGCGCAAGCUUCUGCUGAUGGAUGGACCCGCGGUGCAUUAGCUAGUUGGUGAGGUAACGGCUCACCAAGGCCGUGAUGCAUAGCCGACCUGAGAGGGUGAUCGGCCACAUUGGGACUGAGACACGGCCCAAACUCCUACGGGAGGCAGCAGUAGGGAAUCUUCCGCAAUGGACGCAAGUCUGACGGAGCAACGCCGCGUGAGUGAAGAAGGUUUUCGGAUCGUAAAACUCUGUUGUUAGAGAAGAACAAGUGCUAGAGUAACUGUUAGCGCCUUGACGGUAUCUAACCAGAAAGCCACGGCUAACUACGUG